AGAGUUUGAUCCUGGCUCAGAGCGAACGUUAGCGGCGCGCCUAACACAUGCAAGUCGCACGGAGUAGCAAUACUCAGUGGCGCACGGGUGCGUAACACGUAGAUAACCUGCCCCGAAGAGGGGGAUAACGUUCCGAAAGGAGCGCUAAUACCGCAUAACGCCGAGAUGGGUUCGCCUGUUUCGGACAAAGGCUGGGACCAGCAAUGGCCAGUCGUUUUGGGAGGGGUCUGCGGCCCAUCAGCUAGUUGGUAAGGUAAAGGCUUACCAAGGCAAAGACGGGUAGCUGGUCUGAGAGGAUGAUCAGCCACACUGGUACUGGAACACGGACCAGACUCCUACGGGAGGCAGCAGUGGGGAAUCUUGGUCAAUGGGCGCAAGCCUGAACCAGCGACGCCGCGUGAGUGAUGAAGGCCUUCGGGUUGUAAAGCUCUGUGGGGAGGGACGAAAGACUGAGGUCUAAUAGGCUUCAGGUUGACGGUACCUCCUUAGCAAGCACCGGCUAACUCUGUGCCAGCAGCCGCGGUAAGACAGAGGGUGCAAACGUUGCUCGGAAUCACUGGGCGUAAAGGGCGUGUAGGCGGGAAGGAAAGUCAGAUGUGAAAUCCCCAGGCUCAACCUGGAAACUGCAUUUGAAACUCCCUUUCUUGAGUACCGGAGAGGAAAGUGGAAUUCCUGGUGUAGAGGUGAAAUUCGUAGAUAUCAGGAGGAACACCAGUGGCGAAGGCGGCUUUCUGGACGGUAACUGACGCUGAGACGCGAAAGCGUGGGGAGCAAACAGGAUUAGAUACCCUGGUAGUCCACGCUGUAAACGAUGAGUGCUAGGUGUCGUGGGUAUUGACCCCCGCGGUGCCGUAGCUAACGCAUUAAGCACUCCGCCUGGGAAGUACGGUCGCAAGACUAAAACUUAAAGGAAUUGACGG
rnacentral:rRNA from 1 species